ensembl:ncRNA F23F12.15 ncRNA
UAAGGCGAUGGACUGCUAAUCCAUUGGGAUUUUCCCGCGUGAGUUCGAAUCUCAUCCUGAUCGAAUAUUUUUU